rnacentral:lncRNA from 1 species
AUGCAUAAAAUUCUCCUGUUACAAAAAAAUUUCUCUAACUUUUUCCCAGCUGUAAAACUUCUGACUGUCUUCACUGCCAAAAUUUUGUUAAUGUGAUCUAUUCUUUACUUGUUAUGUUAAAUUUCACACUUCCUAAUCACUUACUACGCCACAGAUAUCUAGCUUUUCUCCAAUACUGCUUAACGUAAGUUAUUCCAGAAACAUUAGUAAUGACUACGUGAUAGUUGAAUUUUAGGAGCAGUGUUUAUUUCACCGACCUUCUCAGAAGCACGAGCACUGUAGGCCUUCCUUAAAACUAUCCUCCAUCUCCUUUCAUGAAGCCAGUCUCUCAUUUAGAAUUCUUCAGACACAGUCCUCAUUUCUCAUGUUAUUCUCUAGGCUGGCAGUUCUUGAUUUUAAUGUGUAUGGAAGUCACUGGUAGAUCUUCUUAAUGCAUUUCUGAUCCAGGAUGUCAGGGUAGAGCCCAAGAUUCCACUUUGCUGUCAAGCUCCUGGGUAAACCAAAUUCUGUUGCUCCUACAUUUUGAGUAGGAUAAGAGACACUUUACCUCAGCAAUGACUCUCUUGUCUGUGUUAACUAUUAACUACCAGGUUUAACUGUAUCUUGGGCCUGUUCCCAGAAUAUUAUUCAUCUUCCUACCUGACUUUCCAAAUCAGGCAUCUUUCAGUAUUUCAACUCAAAGUGGAAUUCACUGUCCUCAUAGCAAAGCAAGCUUCUUUAUUGCAGAAAAUGUGUAAGUGAUAGCAACAGUAUCCACUGAUACUGUUUGCUUUCUCUUUCUUCUUCUUGCUGUGGAAUCUGUAAGCUCCAGAAAGAAAAGAAAAAAAUUAAAAUACACUGACUCAGGAAAGCACUGUGACAGGUUGGACACAGAUAAAAACAAAGUUAUUCUACAGAAAAAAGAAAAGAAGGAAGAAGAAAAGGAGAAGGAGAAGGAAGAUGACCUCAGAACCAUAUGUUUAAGUGAAUGUCCUUGUUUUCAUAAUUUAUGUCACCUAUAAAUAUUUGAUAUACAUGCCAUCUAAAAUAUUUCUGGCUUUCAAACUGACCACCAAUAGAGGCAGACAUCCUCACAUAUUUAUAAUGAAUG